ACGACUCUCAGACAUACCAAAAAGCCACAAGUACUAGUAAUAACAUCUCUAACUCCAGGGGAAUAAAUUCUGCUGGGACAUGACAGGGUGUACCAGGUUAUUCACUAUAGCUAGAAACUUUCCCAAGAACGAUAUUAGUUGGAGGCAAAAUGUUUAGGGAUAUCAGCCCAAAGGAACUGGUAGGCCUCUACAAUUCUUCUAAAAUUUCUAUUAGAACCUAUUACUCUUAAUGUAACAAUAGCAGAAAAAAUGUUUUACAUAAUUUUGCUAAUAGUGAACAUUUAUUAAGGACAUAUUAAGCACAUGUUAAGCUAGGCACUGUAAGUAUGUUAAAUAUGUCAGUUGUUUCAUAAAAUCAUUUCAUAAGUCUCAUUUAAGGAUUUAAUAACAACCUGCAUGAUACAAACUCAUCUGCCUAGCACCCACUUGUUCAGCAGCCUUACCCCUCUGCAAUGAGGCCAAGAACCAAGAGGAAAGCAAAAACAGACAACACCAUAUUCAGGUACUAGCCUUCUAGAAUUCACAUUUGAGAGAAGCACCCACUCACAGGACAUCACAGGAGAAACUGUACUUAAUUUGGAACCAGAAAUCUCAAGGUUGGGCAGACUUAAGAACUCAAAAGUGCAACGGCACAAAGAAGGUCAUUAGCUGUCCUACUUACCUUAUUAUAACCCAGUGAUUUAUCAUCUGAUAGCACAGUGUAAUAAUUCCUUUAGGGCAAGUAUUCUGGUUUGCUCAUUGUGGUACCCCCAGUAGGGAACAGAACCCUUAGAGCAUUGAAUGUGCUCAGUUUUCAUUAAUGAUGCUUAUAAUAAUCAUCUUUGGUCAUCAGAAAGAUUAAAUUACAUCUAAUAUAUUAUAAGAGAAGAGCAAAAUACAUUCAAAACGAUUCUCAUCCAUUGUUAGCAUUCAAAUAAAGGCUUCAGGGGGAAAAAAAAAAAAGGCAGCUCUUCAGCUGUCCAGAAAAUGUGAUUAUUGAGAGCAACUGCUGAGAGUUCCAGGAAACAAGUUCCAGGAAACGUGCACAGUACUGUACUCCCUACUGGUGACCAAGGCAUCCUGACCCACGCUGCCUCCUGAAGCUACAGGCAAAGUGGAAAAUGAGGAUGUGUGAGAGUAUGUAACUGACUGCAGCUCCCACCAGAAUAGAAAAGUCUGCUAAACCCAUCAAAGGGAUAUCCAGAGUGGAGACAACUCUGAAGGAGUACCUAAAGGUAGCAAUCACCAUGCAGAUUUAUGGGGGUAUUAAAUAAUUUAUCUCACUUUUAAAUACAUAUGGCUCGCCCCACUUCCAUGCCUGUUCUUUCUUGGGGACUGCCCACCAGCAGGUUGAAGGCAAACAGGCAAGGAAUGCAGAAUUUGAAGUGCAGGGGACCCUGGCGAAAUACUGACACCAAGAAUCAGAGAUGACUGUGUGUGCGGUAACUUUAAAUACAUAUUUGUUAAAUCAUAUAAAGCGCGUUCCUUCUUGAAAGGCACUGCUCUGGUUGCUAAGUAGCUGAGGCUCUGCGUCAUAGUGGAUUAGUGCAGAAAUGUGUCAUGGAGAGGGCUCUGUCCUCACCCUUUUAAGUUGAAAGCGGUUAAGGUUUUUGUUUUUUUUACCAUUCUGAAAGAGACUCUGAACCGAGUUUAACAUCCUUCUGUACAAAAAUUUUCCGACAGGAUAAAUAAACUACUCUUCCACUGAACUGUGACUUUUGAGCUGACUGUAGGGUGCACCCAACCUUCCAGAGGUGCGUGCCUGGCUUCACCCUCAAAGAGGCAGCUCCAGUCCCAGGAGCCGGUCAGCACCACAGCACCUGAGCCGGGCACUGCAGGAAGGAAAGCAGAAUCUCUAGUGAAACUUCUCAUUUCCUGUCGCUGCUGAGAGAGGUUGGACUCGCUCCUUCUCACAUGGUUUAGGAAGAGCUGUAAACAUAGCCAUGAAGCUUGCUGGCCGGCCACCAGCUCAGGGCCCCCGGGGGCAGCCUCUGGGUUCUGCUCCCGGUUCUUCCUUUCGACCAGUGUCACUCCUGGACAGAUAACGGGACCGAACGCCCUCCACUUCCUCGAGUCCUCAUUUAUGUCAUGGUUUCUCUUUCAAGAAAACAUGAGAACAAGACUCAAAGCAAAAGAAGAGACUAAAGGCAAAUUACCCCAUCAUCUUGUUUCGUCCCUCCCCUUAGUUUUUACGGAAGAGCUUGAUCAAAUUCCCUUUGUCGCGCCACACGCACACGCAGAGUAGGUGAAGGGCACCCUAAGACAACUUAUUUCUUUCCCGCCUCACAGAAAGCCUUUACGAAAUCCUCACACCAUCUCCGGACGCAAGGCUUUCGCAUUCAGCUUGAGGCGAUAAGCCAUUUCAAGCCAAGGUUUCUUCACAGAUUUUCAAUAUUCUCAAACUCAUGGAGGAUAAAGGAUGAAGAGAAGCCAACUGAAUUACUAAGGAUGCCACAUUAGUGGAGAGAGCCAAGGGAUGUAAGUGGCGGCUGGCCACCAGCAGAUCUUGAGUGCCCGUUAUCUAGAGAAAUUCCACGUGGCUGAUCCAGGAUGGAUCAGGCUGCCAAUGACUCUUUCUUCCUCAAGCUAGAAUCCUGCCCCUUUAACACCUUUCCAAAAAGAGGCAACCCAUGGAUGGUAAGAGCAAGAUGGGAUAGUUGUGCCUGGUAGUAAAAAUAUGGUAUUAUCCUUCAUUUCAUCCAGCUUUGAAACUUCUGUUAGGAGCUCACACAUGCCCCCAAGGGUAGCUCCUCAAAUCUGCUAAAGAAAAGUUAAAUAGAAUUAGUUUUGUUCAAUGUCUUCCAUUCUGUAAGACUGAUCAUUUGCAGUCAAGAAUGACAAUAUUAAUGGAACCAAAGAAUAUAUACCAUUAACAUUUUUUCUUAAUUCUACAAGUAUCUGAAAGUCUCUGUAAUUCCCUUAAAAAUAAAAAAAAAUCAAGCAAUAUUAAUUUAA